UACGGGGGGGGCAAGCGUUGUUCGGAAUUACUGGGCGUAAAGGGCUCGUAGGCGGCCAACUAAGUCGGACGUGAAAUCCCCGGGCUCAACCUGGGAAUUGCAUUCGAUACUGGAUAGCUAGAGUUCGGCAGAGGGAAGCGGAAUUUCGGGUGUAGCGGUGAAAUGCGUAGAUAUCCGAAGGAACAUCAGUGGCGAAAGCGGCUUCCUGGACCAGAACUGACGAUCAGGCACGAAAGCGUGGGGAGCAAACAGG
rnacentral:rRNA from 1 species